rnacentral:rRNA from 1 species
GAUGAACGCUGGCGGCGUGCCUAAUACAUGCAAGUCGAGCGAACAGACGAGGAGCUUGCUCCUCUGACGUUAGCGGCGGACGGGUGAGUAACACGUGGAUAACCUACCUAUAAGACUGGGAUAACUUCGGGAAACCGGAGCUAAUACCGGAUAAUAUAUUGAACCGCAUGGUUCAAUAGUGAAAGACGGUUUUGCUGUCACUUAUAGAUGGAUCCGCGCCGCAUUAGCUAGUUGGUAAGGUAACGGCUUACCAAGGCAACGAUGCGUAGCCGACCUGAGAGGGUGAUCGGCCACACUGGAACUGAGACACGGUCCAGACUCCUACGGGAGGCAGCAGUAGGGAAUCUUCCGCAAUGGGCGAGAGCCUGACAGAGCAACGCCGCGUGAGUGAUGAAGGUCUUCGGAUCGUAAAACUCUGUUAUUAGGGAAGAACAAAUGUGUAAGUAACUAUGCACGUCUUGACGGUACCUAAUCAGAAAGCCACGGCUAACUACGUG